rnacentral:rRNA from 1 species
GUCGAACGGCAGCACAGUAAGAGCUUGCUCUUAUGGGUGGCGAGUGGCGGACGGGUGAGGAAUACAUCGGAAUCUACUCUUUCGUGGGGGAUAACGUAGGGAAACUUACGCUAAUACCGCAUACGACCUACGGGUGAAAGCGGAGGACCUUCGGGCUUCGCGCGAUUGAAUGAGCCGAUGUCGGAUUAGCUAGUUGGCGGGGUAAAGGCCCACCAAGGCGACGAUCCGUAGCUGGUCUGAGAGGAUGAUCAGCCACACUGGAACUGAGACACGGUCCAGACUCCUACGGGAGGCAGCAGUGGGGAAUAUUGGACAAUGGGCGCAAGCCUGAUCCAGCCAUGCCGCGUGGGUGAAGAAGGCCUUCGGGUUGUAAAGCCCUUUUGUUGGGAAAGAAAAGCAGUCGGUUAAUACCCGAUUGUUCUGACGGUACCCAAAGAAUAAGCACCGGCUAACUUCGUGCCAGCAGCCGCGGUAAUACGAAGGGUGCAAGCGUUACUCGGAAUUACUGGGCGUAAAGCGUGCGUAGGUGGUGGUUUAAGUCUGUUGUGAAAGCCCUGGGCUCAACCUGGGAAUUGCAGUGGAUACUGGGUCACUAGAGUGUGGUAGAGGGUAGCGGAAUUCCCGGUGUAGCAGUGAAAUGCGUAGAGAUCGGGAGGAACAUCCGUGGCGAAGGCGGCUACCUGGACCAACACUGACACUGAGGCACGAAAGCGUGGGGAGCAAACAGGAUUAGAUACCCUGGUAGUCCACGCCCUAAACGAUGCGAACUGGAUGUUGGGUGCAAUUUGGCACGCAGUAUCGAAGCUAACGCGUUAAGUUCGCCGCCUGGGGAGUACGGUCGCAAGACUGAAACUCAAAGGAAUUGACGGGGGCCCGCACAAGCGGUGGAGUAUGUGGUUUAAUUCGAUGCAACGCGAAGAACCUUACCUGGUCUUGACAUCCACGGAACUUUCCAGAGAUGGAUUGGUGCCUUCGGGAACCGUGAGACAGGUGCUGCAUGGCUGUCGUCAGCUCGUGUCGU